CCUACCUGUGGAGGGCGCAUUUUCAUGAUGGCGUCCGUUGACAUAGUGAAAGCCGGUGGGUUGCUUGUUUUUCGACAGUUUAAACAAGAAAUACAAUAUCUAAUGCUUCAGAAAUCCAAAAACCACACUAGCUGGACACCACCUAAAGGUAUCUGUAGAGGUUGCCUAACCAUGCACCAACAAGCAGUUUCUGGCCAGGCAGCGGAACAGAUACCACCACCCAGUGAUACACUGUCUAUGGGAUAGGAAGAGCAGCAGAGUGCAACCAGUGAUUGGUCAUCAUCAGCUGGGUUACUUCCAACAAGUUUCCAAUCCACUUACACAAAGUGCACUCCAAUUCCCGAGCUUGCAUCUGGGUCUUCAUCAACUGAUGAAGAUGUUACUCGGGUUUCGGUGCCCUGGAUUCGGCUUGGACUCCAACAUCACGGCAAAAGAAUGCAGAGCUCCAGUCCUUAAACACCUUCCUUAUCCAGGGUGGAAAGCCUUCCUGUUGAUGGACAGCUGCACUGGCCACUAGAAGAAGCAUCUGAUAGCACCGUCCGCUACUACAAAAGAAAAGCGAAGAAGGCCAAGAAGAUCGGCUUCUGAAGAUAGCCAUCGGUGAAACAACUGCAGAAUCAUCACAGAGUGAUCCAGAUGUUGACAGCAGUACUCAUUCUCUGGUGGAGUGCUAUCAAGCUGCAGACAACUGGUGUACCAAGCGACAGAUUUUGUCAAUAUUGGUUCAAAACAUGACAAAACAAAGACUAAUGCAACUGAUUCCAGGCCUCACUAUAUACAGGAUAGAUGCGGCAAGAAAGCAUGCCAAGGAAACUUGAGGAGGGUAACCAGUACAAUUGGAACCAAUAACUCGAUCAAGACUUGAGAAAAGCAAGAUUGAUCACUUCAUUCAAUUCAUCUCACACCCAGAAUUUGUUCAAGAUGUUGCAUU